CCAGACUCCUACGGGAGGCAGCAGUGGGGGAUAUUGCACAAUGGGGGGAACCCUGAUGCAGCGACGCCGCGUGGGUGAAGAAGCGCCUCGGCGCGUAAAGCCCUGUCAGCAGGGAAGAAAAUGACGGUACCUGAAGAAGAAGCCCCGGCUAACUACGUGCCAGCAGCCGCGGUAAUACGUAGGGGGCAAGCGUUAUCCGGAUUUACUGGGUGUAAAGGGGGCGCAGACGGCGAUGCAAGCCAGGAGUGAGAGCCCGGGGCCCAACCCCGGGACUGCUCUUGGAACUGCGUGGCUGGAGUGCGGGAGGGGCAGGCGGAAUUCCUGGUGUAGCGGUGAAAUGCGUAGAUAUCAGGAGGAACACCGGUGGCGAAGGCGGCCUGCUGGACUGCAACUGACGUUGAGGCCCGAAAGCGUGGGGAGCAAACAGGAUUAGAUACCCGGGUAAAA
rnacentral:rRNA from 1 species